CCCUUAGAUGUUCUGGGCCGCACGCGCGCUACACUGAUGCAUUCAACGAGUCUAAAACCUGGUCUGAGAGGGCUGGGUAAUCUUUUGAAAGUGCAUCGUGAUUGGGAUAGAUGAUUGCAAUUCUUCAUCUUCAACGAGGAAUGCCUAGUAAACGCAAGUCAUCAGCUUGCAUUGAUUACGUCCCUGCCCUUUGUACACACCGCCCGUCGCUCCUACCGAUUGAACGAUCCGAUGAAAACUGUGGAUUGAGAGUCUGAGUGGGUUCGCCUACCUCAACUUUCGAGAAGCGGUUUAAAUCCUAUCGUUUAGAGGAAGGAGAAGUCGUAACA
rnacentral:rRNA from 1 species